GACGAACGCUGGCGGCGUGCUUAACACAUGCAAGUCGAACGGAAAGGCCUGCUUUCCCUUGUGGAUUGCGGGUACUCGAGUGGCGAACGGGUGAGUAACACGUGAGUGAUCUGCCCCCAACUUGGGUAUAAGCCUGGGAAACUGGGUCUAAUUCCCGAUAGGACUGCAGGGUGGUGCCUGUGGUGGAAAACGAUUUUCUAGUGGUUGGGGAUGAGCUCGCGGCCUAUCAGCUUGUUGGUGGGGUAAUGGCCUACCAAGGCGGCGACGGGUAGCCGGCAUGAGAGGGUGGACGGCCACAUUGGGACUGAGAUACGGCCCAGACUCCUACGGGAGGCAGCAGUGGGGAAUAUUACACAAUGGGCGGAAGCCUGAUGCAGCGACGCCGCGUGGGGGAUGACGGCCUUCGGGUUGUAAACUCCUUUCGACCGCGAGGAAGCCACCUGGUUGGAAGGGUGGUGACGGUAGUGGUAGAAGAAGCACCGGCUAACUACGUG
rnacentral:rRNA from 1 species